AUACGAAGGGGGCUAGCGUUGUUCGGAUUUACUGGGCGUAAAGCGCACGUAGGCGGAUUGAUAAGUUAGGGGUGAAAUCCCGAGGCUCAACCUCGGAACUGCCUCUAAUACUGUCAAUCUCGAGACCGGAAGAGGUGAGUGGAACUCCUAGUGUAGAGGUGGAAUUCGUAGAUAUUAGGAAGAACACCAGUGGCGAAGGCGGCUCACUGGUCCGGUACUGACGCUGAGGUGCGAAAGCGUGGGGAGCGAACAGGAUUAGAAACCCCAGUAGUCC
rnacentral:rRNA from 1 species